GUGGGUGUAGCUCAAUGGCUAGAGCGCCGGACUGUGGCUCCGGAGGUUGGGGGUUCGAAACCCCUCAUCCACCCCA
rnacentral:tRNA from 2 species